rnacentral:rRNA from 1 species
GAGAGAUUCAUCGUCAUUCCGCGGCGUACGGGCUGCGCGCUUCGAUGUCGUCGACCUCGGUCGUCAGGCACGACGCGCGUCCGUCGACGUCCGUGGACGGCGUGCACUUCUCUCUUAGUAAAUACAUCGCGACCCGUUCGAUGUCGGUCUAAGCGCCGUCCGGGAGCCCCACGGUCCCUUCACGGGGUCUGUGGGACCGCGACGGUGGCCGACCGGCCGUCGGACGGUAGUUCUGACGAAACGCGCACGCGUUUAUAACGCGUCCGGCCCGACGCAAGUCAACGUCGUAUCCAACGUACCGCCUCAGUGCGGACGUAGGUGCGGCGCGUCUGUUGUUGCAGCCGUGCAGUCUCGGAC